CUUCCGGUCGAGGCCGCUUCCUGCGCGGCUGGGGAGGCGUCUGUUUCGCUGCUCCGGGGCCCCCAAACCCACAUUUCGCACCCCACAACCGCAGAUCCUCAAAGGGGUUGCCAGAAACCGGUCUGCGUGGAUACCACUGCCCGUCUCCUGGGCCCCGCUCCAUGGGAUCGCCACGAGACGCGCCCUGGGCCCCCUCACGACGACUACACGAGAUUUCCGCCCGAUGUAAAUUCCACAGUUGAGCAAACUGUCAUCCUAAGAAGGUGGCUGGCAAGCCAGAGCACUGCUGGACAAGCCUCCAGUCAACGAGGAGUUUCUCUGGCUGUGAACACCCACCUGGGUGGGCAGUGCCCACUGAGAAGUUCCACCUGCUCUGGGCCUUGGGCUGUAUAAGCCCAGGCCAGGGGCCAGCACUUGCCCAAGCUGCAAGGCACAUGUGGAAGAAGUACAAGGAUUGAACUCAGGACCUCGCACUUGCCAGGCAGGCAUGGUGCCACCAAGUUACAUCCCCAGCCAGACUUCCAUUAUAGUGCGUGAAAUCAACCAUCAGGUGACAGACCUGCCGGGACACAAGCACGAUCAUCCAGAUCCUGAGAAGCUCCAGAUGGCUGGGGCACUGGCCUCAGAGUGGAGGCCUGCAGCCUACAGGGCCAGCAAGUGGGAGAUGGACAAGACAGCACUCCAGGACCAGAGACAGGGCUGCCAAGGAGAGAGAAGCCUCUUCCAGGGAGCACAGGCCCCAGCCAGGAAGUGCUCUGUGAGGCUCAGGCCCACAGACACCUUCCCAUCAUGGGCCACCCUGCAUCCCACCACACCUCACACCUAGGAUGUGGGAGAAGAGCCUGCCUCUGGGCAGGCACAUACCACUGUUGUCAAGAAAGCCGAAGUCACUUUUUCCAAACUUCAAAUACAGUCGGGCAUGGCCCUACACACCUGGGGUCCCAGCUACACCAGCAGCUGAUUCCAAAUUCGAAGCUAGCCUGGUCAGUUUAGCUCAACCCUGUCUCAAAAAUAACAAAGGGCUGAGGACAAAGCUCAGCACAGUCUGGGUUCAAUCCCCAAUACCACCAGAAAGGAAAAAAAUUAAACAGGAGGAAAAAUUUCUCAAGUAACACAAACUUGAAAAACUUUUGAGAAGAUUUUUGCAGAGAAAAAGCAGUUUAUUCCAGAGGCACAGGUCAGAGUCUGAGACAGGAGGGAGGAAAAGGAAGCCACACCCAGGGAGCCUCUUGAUGCCCCCUCAGCCAGCCCCAGGGGACCAAGAAAACCUCCCCCCUGAAAGGCUGAUUCCAUGGUACCUGACAAAUAAGGAAAUGUCCAGAGAAGGGUGACCAGGGCACAUUUCAGUUGUCCAGGCAACUGAGCAAGAUCUUGUCUCAAAAUCAAAAAGGCUAGGGAAGAAGCUCAGCAGCCAUGCACUUGCCCAGCACUGUUGUCCUGAGUUCAAUCCCCAGCAUGGGGUGGGAAGGGACGAACGAACCCUGCAGUGCUGGGUUGUCAUCGUUGAUACCUGGGGGGGGUCUCAGUUUGUACAAAGCGGCAGAUGUGUGUCCACAUGAGCAUGUAUGCCACCGUCCCUAGCUCUGUCGCUGGAGGAGGGAAACCCUGCGGCACUGAGUGCACACAGACCCAGGUUUCGAUGUUGUCCCCUCUCCUGGAAGGAACCUGAGCCUUGUGGAGAAAUGGCUGACCCUGAGUGACCAGGAAAAUGUGGAGGGAGGGGUGCAGGGGUCCUGGGGGGGCCAGAGAGGAUGGGGAGCUAGUCACGGGUCCAGGCCAUAGGCAGAAGGGGAGCACACAGAAGGGUGAUAGGGAUGGGUCAGGUCUGUAUUUUAAUUAC